UACGGAGGGGGCUAGCGUUGUUCGGAAUUACUGGGCGUAAAGCGCACGUAGGCGGAUUGUUAAGUCAGAGGUGAAAUCCCGGAGCUCAACUUCGGAACUGCCUUUGAUACUGGCAAUCUAGAGUCCGGAAGAGGUUAGUGGAAUUCCCAGUGUAGAGGUGAAAUUCGUAGAUAUUGGGAAGAACACCAGUGGCGAAGGCGGCUAACUGGUCCGGUACUGACGCUGAGGUGCGAAAGCGUGGGGAGCAAACAGG
rnacentral:rRNA from 1 species